GGCGGCGUGGAUAAGGCAUGCAAGUCGAGCGGUAAGGCCCUUCGGGGGUACACGAGCGGCGGACGGCUGAGUAACGCGUGGGAACAUGCCCCAAAGUGAGGGAUAAGCUCCAGAAUGGAGUCUAAUACCGCAUAUGAUCUUCGGAUUAAAGGAUUUAUCCGCUUUGGGAGUGGCCUGCGUACGAUUAGAUAGUUGGUGAGGUAAUGGCUUACCAAGUCUACGAUCGUUAACUGGUCUGAGAGGAUGAUCAGUCAGACUGGAACUGAGACACGGUCCAGACUCCUACGGGAGGCAGCAGUGAGGAAUCUUCCACAAUGGGCGAAAGCCUGAUGGAGCAACGCCGCGUGCAGGAUGAAGGCCUUCGGGUCGUAAACUGCUUUUAUAAGUAAAGAAUAUGACGGUAACUUAUGAAUAAGCACCGGCUAACUACGUG
rnacentral:rRNA from 1 species